AAAGAAGCUCUAGCAAGUAGCGAUUCGACCCGCACGCGAAGUAAUUGGGGGCGAAGGACGGACGGUGGUCAGAAUUCGUCGCGAGCUUUGCAGGGAAACGCGGGCAGCUUCGUCCCUGUAGCUCAUUUCGUCAUCGUUUCGAUAUUAUCCGCUUCGACACGUCUAUGAAGAUACACCGAGGAGGGGGUUGGAGGGGGGGUUGGCGGCGUUUGAUUCUCUUUUUUGUUUUUUGGUUUUUGUUGUUGAGUCCGUUGUGUAUAUAAGGAGCUUUCGAUUCGUGGCCCUUUCGUGUGGGGGGGGGGGGAUUUGAGGAUUUGUCUGGCGCCAAGUCCGGCGGGGGCGGUCGUCAUCAAUUAGCCAAGGAGCUGUCCGUUCUUCACCUUAUCGCCAUUGGGGUCGGAUCUACGAUCGGAGCUGGAGUUUACAUUCUUGUUGGGACAGUUGCUAGAGAGCAUUCUAGACCGGCUCUCACCUUCUCGUUCUUGAUAGCUGGAAUUGCAGCAGCUCUUUCAGCCUUCUGUUAUGCGGAGCUUGCAAGCCGUUGUCCAUCUGCUGGGAGCGCGUAUCAUUAUUCAUACAUAUGUGUCGGAGAAGGUGUUGCUUGGCUGAUUGGUUGGGCGCUGAUACUGGAAUACAUAAUUGGUGGCUCAGCUGUAGCUCGUGCCAUAUCUCCUAACCUGGCAUUGCUCUUUGGUGGAGGGGAGAGUCUUCCUGCGUUUUUAGCUCGUCAGUACAUCCCUGGGCUUGAUAUAGUGGUAGGCCCAUGUGCUGCAGUUCUAGUAAUUGUCGUUACUGAGCUGUUAUGUGUGGGAAUUAAGGAGGUAAUCCCUCUUGUAGAUUUAUUUGAUGUGGAAAGUGCCUUUACGAGCUAGUAUCUAUUGUGAUUGUUGGUCUUGUGCCUUACUUUGCAAUGGACCCUGACACCUCCAUCUCCUCUGCAUUUGCAAGCCAUGGGAUGCAUUGGGCAGUGUAAGUGUAUAAUUUGUAUCAAAGUGGUUGUGGCAGCUUCUCCUUUUGUUGGGGAUGACGGAUGUGCACUCAGAAUUUUGUUUGUGAUGCUUGCUUAUUUCGUUGCAGGUACAUAAUCACAGCUGGAGCUAUUACUGCUCUCUGGUCCACACUGAUGUGCUUUGUAAGUGCAAUCCUUUUAAUUUUGGAUGUGAUAUUUUGGCAAUGUAGGUAUAUCACUUUCUUCUCUGAGUUUGUGGGACUUUGAGUUUCCCUUGCUUUUGGGAAUUUUAUGGUUUUAAUUAAGAAUAUUAAACAGUAGAUAUAUUUUGUUUGGCAGUCAGGUUAGUUAUUAUGUGUUAAUGUGCGGAGGGGGAGAUUUGCCAAGGAUGGUCUGAUUCAGUAUUGCAUUGUAUGUCAACAAGUGAAUGUCACUUCUUUGGAGGAGGUGAUGAAGCACUUCAUGCAAACCUUAUAGGAGAAAGCAGACCAGGCGCAAGAUUGGAAGGAUCUUUUCAUAUCUAUCGGGGAUAAGCUUUGCUUCAGCUUCUUCUGUGCCAGAAGUGCAGUUGGCACAAUAUGUUCCUGCCCUCGAAAGAAUUGCCACCUUGAGGUUGCUUAAGUAGGUGCUUUAAUAUGCAAGAUUAUUUAUUCUCUCAUUAUGU